UCGAAACCUCCCGAAUCUGGAGAAUUCGGAAGGGUAAAUAGGAAAUAUACUCGAGUCCCCGGGGAAUCGGCUAGAUAUUCUGGAGGAAACAUCAGUUGCGAACGGGUGAUUACUGGACCACACCUGUCGCCUGAUACCUCGAAAGGCCUGGGGAGCAAACAGGAUUAGACAGCACGUAGUCCACCGCGUUAAAUCGAUGAAUAACAACGUGUUGCGGCGCAAGCCUCCGCGCCGGACUUAACACAAUAAGCAUUCCACCUCGGAGUACGGCCAGCAAUGGUGAUACUCAAAGGAAUUGACGGGAGCUCGCACAAGCAGUGGGAGUAUGUGGUUUAAUUCGACGCAACGCGAAGAACCUUACCGGAGUUUGAAAUCCUUGGGAAUGCAGCGUAAUGGCAGCAGUGCCCUUCGGGGAACCCAGAGACAGGUGGUGCAUGGUUGCCGUCAGCUCGUGUCGUGAGAUGUUGGGUUAAGUCCCGCAACGAGCGCAAC
rnacentral:rRNA from 1 species